rnacentral:tRNA from 1 species
GCCGAGUAUAGUCAGGUCAAACACAACAGGUGGGCUAAGUAUUCCGGCCUUUCGAGCCGGAGACCCGGGUUCGAAUCCCGGCCGGAGCACCA